UACGGAGGUCUCAAGCGUUGUUCGGAUUCACUGGGCGUAAAGGGUGCGUAGGCGGUCGGGUAAGUCUGAUGUGAAAUCUCACAGCUUAACUGUGAAACUGCAUUGGAUACUAUCCGGCUCGAGGAAUGGAGGGGAGACUGGAAUACUUGGUGUAGCAGUGAAAUGCGUAGAUAUCAAGUGGAACACCAGUGGCGAAGGCGAGUCUCUGGACAUUUCCUGACGCUGAGGCACGAAAGCCAGGGGAGCAAACGGG
rnacentral:rRNA from 1 species